rnacentral:ribozyme from 1 species
CUUUAUCUGCUGCUCAGAUCCGAAAUGAUAUAUUUGAGGAUACAGUAUGCCUGGCAAGCCACAUGGCAGCCUGUUCCUACAACCAAGUGGAAAUCCAACCCGCCAAUGUUGGUGACGGUGGUGUCGUUGAUGUU